rnacentral:tRNA from 1 species
AGUUUUAUAUUCAAUAAUAAAAUAUGAUAUUAAAUUGCAAAUUUAAAGUAGUAAUUAAUUACUAAAACUU